UGACCAAAUUGUAGAUUUUGGCGAACUUGAAACUUGAUUUUGGAGACGUGUAUGAAGCGGAAAAGGUCAGCAGACAGGUGGACUUGAUCCUUAGGAGCUCUACCAGCGGUACUCUACAGUGCUCCAGUUGUUCCGGAGCCUCACUUCCGCGGUACUAUUUUGUGUAUGUAUAUUCGGGCACAUCAGUACCCGGCCCUUUCUAUGUAUAAGUGUACUAUGUCUAGAGGCUCGUAGACAGAUAUGCCCAGUCAGUCAAGUACAGUUAGAUAUAUGGUGUGUUGGCAUUUUAAUGUUGUUGUAUAAAGUGAUAACGAAGUUUACUAGUCUAUGUUCAUAAUGAUGCUGCUAAUGUUAAUGUUAAAAAAAUAAAUAUAUGGCACAGUUCCUACGGCCCGCUGAGAAGUAAAGGUAAAACGAUAGAUAAGGGGUGCUCGGUACAAGUAUCGGGUACUCAUCACGGCCCCUAGUCGGGUCGUGACAUAUUUGGCCAAUAAAAUAUAACAUGUCAUUUAAUUUAAUCCACAUGAAAUUUUUCUUUUUUUUUCUCAGUCUAUAUGGUAAAAAGACCCGACCCAAACCCAUCCAAAUCUAGGCUUAUUCAGGCAAAAGUUAGGCCUUAAGGCAGAGUUUGCAAAAUUCUAACUGAGUAUUUUUUUUUUUUUUUUUUUUGCCUUAAUGCAAACCUCUAACUUAAGGUAGAGUUUUGCAUCAUGCCUAAAGGCAAAACUCUGCCUUAAGGGAGAGUUUGCCUUAUGCAACUCUACCUGAACUGCAAAAUUCUGCCUUACAAAUCCAAACUUUAUGUUGCAAUAUUUUUAAAAUUUUUAACUAAGCUGAGAUUUGAACUCAGAACCAAGGAAUUUUACCGAAGGACUAAAAAUUAAAGACCACCAAUUUGAGAGUAAAAAAUUGAAGACCACCCCCCGAAUAAGGACAGUCGGGCAAAUUGCCCGUUUAAUUCCCAUUUCAGCCCAAAUUGGUCCAAAGAUCCAUCCAGCUUACAUAUAACCCGACCCGAGUUCCUUUCCAUUUUCCACACAACACAAAACGAACAUAGCAGCUCCAAAUCAUCUCUCCCACGUGAAAUCACAGCUACAAAAAUGGGUUUGGGAGCCCUAAGAUCAAUAAUCCGACCCGUUUCUUCAAGAGCACUCUUCUCGACCCGACCCGUAUCCUCAUUCAACUCUCCGGCGACAAGAAUAUCUCCGGGCCACCAGAUGCAGGCUGGUAUAAUUCUCCAUCUCUCUUUGUGCCCAGAAAGGUCAAAGUUUGCAUAGUUUGACUUUCGAGAAGCGAAAUAUGACAACUAAUUUGGGACAAGAGCAUUUGAUCAUUUUCUCGAGUUUAGUUGGGAUUGUAAUGGUACGAGGUGGGGGAUCGGAACAUGAGGAUGUCGUUUUGAUGAUUUUCUUGAGUGUUCACAUUCACAAGUCACAAAAAUGUCAAAGUGUUGGGAUUGUAAAGAAGCUGGCUUUGUCAUGAAGUGAUGUCCGUAUGCAUGGAUAAAAUAUACCACCCGGUGAACCUAUAAGUCCAAACAAUCCCAAUUAAGGAAGUGUCAAGCGGAGGAAUGAGAAGAAGAGAAUCAGGCAGAGAAAGGCAUUUAUAUUGGUAUGAACGUAGAAUUGUGACCUUGUGGGGUGAGCUAGCUGAAAAAGAUGGGGAAAUACUACAAAAACUGAUAGAUACAAAACCUGUCGUAGCAUUUUGUGACGUGAAAGGGUUGACGUAUCAAGGUAAUAUAUCGAAAACUUUUUUUUACCUUCACAAUUAGUUCUUUAUGAAUUACAUCUAUGCUAAACUUUAUUUGUUUGUUGUGAGGAUAUCUACCACUCGUAUUAGUGGUGUAUUGAUCAACCCGACAUUUCAAAAAGCAAACGAGCUGCAAAAUUGGCAUGAUUGUUUGAAAGCGCAAUUGCUGAAGAGAUGCAUGAAGUUGGAACUAUUGCUGCAAUUGAAAUUGAGGAAGACGCAAUAGAGGUGCAGAAAAAACACACGAAGAAAACAAGGGAUUGCGGAGACAAAAAAGACUCUCAUUCAAUAAUUUAUAAGAAAAUCAAAAUAGAAAAGGAUUAGGGAUUUGUUGUUGUUUUGUCAUUCCAGUAGACAUUCAUUAUCUUUUUUUAGUCGAUUUCCCAUAGUCUAUUUAAUUCUCUUAUGAUAUUGUAGUACUAUAUUUUUGUUAGUCUAUAAUAUGUGACUCCCUCUGUCCCAUAUAGAA